UGAUCCUGGACCAUCAGGAGUGAAGCAGCUCAGUGAUUUACUACAGGAUCCAAACUAUCAACUGAAGACACUGAGGUUUUUGGGUGCUGCUGCAGAUGAAGCCUGUCAGUUUGUGACUGGAAUUGUGGGUAAAAACCCGUUACUCCUGAGAGAGCUGAAUCUGAGUGAACAGAAGCUAGGAGACACACGAGUGAAUCAGAUCUCUGCUGUACUGCAGGAUAAACACUGUAAACUCAACACACUGAUUCUGCGUAAGUGUGGUCUAACAGAGGAAAGCUGUUCAGCUCUCGCUACAGUCCUGAGAUCAAACUCCAGUCUGAAAGAACUUGACCUGAGCAACAAUAAUCUGCAGGAUUCAGGAGUGAAGAAACUCCAGAACGGAUUAGAAAACACAAACUGCACACUGAAGAAACUCAGACUUUCAGACUGCAGUAUCACUGAAGAAGGUUAUA